rnacentral:lncRNA from 1 species
CUGGCAAGCCGGAGGGCCAGUUUGACUGCGCGGCUACUCGAGAGUGUGCGGUAGCCGAGGGCCGCGUCCCCGUAAAGCCGAGAGCUGUAAUGAUGUCAACUUGUUAUUUACUUUCCAAAUCUGAAUGACUGAGCAAGGCGAAAGGAGAAUCAAUCAACCACAAUGUGACCCUACAGGCGGAAAAAACGCAGCGCUCCCACCAGCAGGCGGUGGGGGAAGGGAAGCACGUGUAACCCGGCCCGGGUUGCAUCAUGAGCUUGCUCGGGCUUUCAAUUGCACCCUUGGUUUUUCGAUUGCAUGUAAUACCUCAGCAUCAGUCCGCACAAGCCCAGGGAGCCGGGGAGCAACGAAGGGCAGGCUCAAGGGAAGGCCCCACCACGUCCUUUUGGGGGGCCUUGAAUGGCAACUGAUACAUAAUAAGACACAAUCUAUUCUGCUGAUUGACAAUUAUGGAGACUGUGUAACUGAAGACGGAAAACAGGCCUGGAAAGAAACCCUCAAAGGAGGAAGGGAUUUGCCUGCAUUUGGCUCUGACCGGCUCCUGGCAGACACUUUGCAGUUUCUAUGA